rnacentral:rRNA from 1 species
UGGGGAAUAUUGGACAAUGGGCGAAAGCCUGAUCCAGCCAUGCCGCGUGAGUGAUGAAGGCCCUAGGGUUGUAAAGCUCUUUUGUGCGGGAAGAUAAUGACGGUACCGCAAGAAUAAGCCCCGGCUAACUUCGUGCCAGCAGCCGCGGUAAUACGAAGGGGGCUAGCGUUGCUCGGAAUCACUGGGCGUAAAGGGUGCGUAGGCGGGUUUCUAAGUCAGAGGUGAAAGCCUGGAGCUCAACUCCAGAACUGCCUUUGAUACUGGAAGUCUUGAGUUCGGGAGAGGUGAGUGGAACUGCGAGUGUAGAGGUGAAAUUCGUAGAUAUUCGCAAGAACACCAGUGGCGAAGGCGGCUCACUGGCCCGAUACUGACGCUGAGGCACGAAAGCGUGGGAGCAAACA